AGGGAAUCUUCCGCAAUGGGCGAAAGCCUGACGGAGCAACGCCGCGUGAGUGAUGAAGGUCUUCGGAUCGUAAAACUCUGUUAUUAGGGAAGAACAUAUGUGUAAGUAACUGUGCACAUCUUGACGGUACCUAAUCAGAAAGCCACGGCUAACUACGUGCCAGCAGCCGCGGUAAUACGUAGGUGGCAAGCGUUAUCCGGAAUUAUUGGGCGUAAAGCGCGCGUAGGCGGUUUUUUAAGUCUGAUGUGAAAGCCCACGGCUCAACCGUGGAGGGUCAUUGGAAACUGGAAAACUUGAGUGCAGAAGAGGAAAGUGGAAUUCCAUGUGUAGCGGUGAAAUGCGCAGAGAUAUGGAGGAACACCAGUGGCGAAGGCGACUUUCUGGCCUGUAACUGACGCUGAUGUGCGAAAGCGUGGGGAUCAAACAGGAUUAGAUACCCUGGUAGUCCACGCCGUAAACGAUGAGUGCUAAGUGUUAGGGGGUUUCCGCCCCUUAGUGCUGCAGCUAACGCAUUAAGCACUCCGCCUGGGGAGUACGACCGCAAGGUUG
rnacentral:rRNA from 1 species